GGAUAUGAGAGCCAUCUGGCUGUGACAUCUGUCACCCCACUGAUCGCCAGGGUUAAUUUGGCCAAUCUGGUUGGCUAGACAGGUGUCCCCUUUUUCCCUCACUACUCCAUGUGUGUUUCUCCUAAAGCUGAACACUCAGUUGAAGAAAACGGCCAUUCUUCAGUCAAGGGUAUACGAGUAGUUGUGCUUCCUUGCUAGAACCUCCAAACAAGCUCUCAGUUCUCACAUGAAGGGCAAGAACCUGUCUCUCCUUGGCCUGUAUUCUAAGACUACUCCAGAGAAGUGUGGGCCUCUUU
rnacentral:snRNA from 1 species